UCCCACUCUCUCAACUCUCAUGUCUGCUUCUGAGUAGUGAAAGGUUAUCAGAAUUUUAUUUUCAAGUAAUAACUUCUUCUCAUGUAAAUCUUCAUUUUCAUUUGUUUCAAAAUUGACCAGCCAACUCUGAUUUACAGCUGGAUACAUUCUCUUUAAUUACCUAAGUUAUAACCUUUCCUUUUUCCAUCAAAAUUCAUCUCUAUGUUGAAAAAAAGUAUGAGGACCAAUGGUAAUCAUGAAACACCAAAUACAAGUAAAACAGUUCAUAAUAAAACCGCAAAACUUAUGGCUCAUCCCAAAACGUUUCCCACUGUUCAGACUCACGUGAAGGUGGCCAACAUGCGUGAUCUGCGUCAGGACUCGAAAGAUCAGAAAAUUCCUCGACCACCCAAUGCAUUCAUGUUGUUCGCCAAUGAUUUCCGCCGCAAACUUGCCGGAGAAUUUCCCAAAGAAAGCAACAAGGACAUCAGUAUUAGACUUGGAUGCAUGUGGAAAAGCAUGGAAAAGGAUAUCAAGGACAAAUACUUUCAGCUUGCAAAGGAAGUUGAUGCGGCGCACAAGAAAAAAUAUCCAGAUUAUGUUUACAAUCCGAAGGAGGCUCGUUUGCGCAAAGCUAUUCGUGAGAAAAGUCGAGCCGGCGGACAGAGGGUACAGGGGGGCGCCGCGAGUUCCGGCCAGAGGGGCGGAGCCCCUGCAUCAUGGAGCAAGCCCCGUCAAAACAUGAAUUCUCGCCAGCCAAUCUGCAUGCAGAUGGUGGGAGACCAACAGCAGUUGCAGCAUCGUCAACUUCAGCAUCAGCAGUACAUCCAACUCCAGCAGCAGCAGCACCAACAAGCACAACAGCAGCAGCAGCAGUCUUUGCUGCGUUGCAACAAUAGACAGCAGCAGCCGCAGCAGCAGAGCAGUGGAGGUGGAGGUGGAAGUGGCAACACGGCAGCCAACAUGAUGCUUCAGAACUACAACGACUACCUGGACCUGUCCUACCACCAUGUGGCGCAGGCGGCCGACUACACUCUGCUGCCUGAGCACCACCAGUCAGAGUCCUCCUGGUAUUCGUCAACCUUCCUGCAGCAGCAGGGACCUGACCAGACUGCUUCUUCAUCAUCUGCUUACCCAGUCCGAAGUGAAUCCAGAAAGGUGGCGGAAUCCCACGAGUGGAGUUCGCACUUUGCUACUGAAAGCAAUUCUGCCUUCAUCCAUACAAGUGCAGAAAAUUCAGCAGAUAAGGAUGCAAGCCGCAGUGAGGAAUUGGUGGACUCAGCGGGGCGGGGGGGAGGCAGUGACGGUAACGGUGAAUGGGGGUCCUCACCACCCCCACCCCCACCCACAGCCGCAAUGCAUGACAGCCGCAGCCGCAGCUGCAGCCGCAGCUGCAGCGGCUGGCGACCAAGACAAUGGUCCAGUGCCUGGCUCCGACAUCGAGAUGGAGAAUGGAGUGCUUCUUGAGCCGAACCUAUUGGAACAGAAAUCACUGCUCAAUUUGUCACAGCCGAGCCAAGGAAAGCUGCAGUCAGCUUCCGACGGAAAUAGCAGCGGAGGGAGCAAGGAUGGGCUGCGACUGCCCGGAUUCCAUCAGGCGUUCGGGUCGACUGAGAUCGGCCGCUUUUCGCAGCACGAGGAGUUUUUCGAAACUCAGCCGCUGCCCCCGCCGCAGGACCCCAAGUCGAUGAAACUGGAUUUAUGCACUCCACCGUUUGCAUUGUUCUUCGAUAACGAGUCUCAAAAUUGUGCCAACUUUUUUGAGUCGAAAUCUGACUCCGACAGUUGGUCGUUUCUGUUCAACUCACCAACUAUGCUGGAAAACGCUGACUUCGACAAUGAUUUGCCAUUCAUUGACUACUCGCUGCUCGCUAAUGAUCUCACUUCUCGUAACGAUGAGCCGAAUUCCGAAGAAAUUCUGCCAGAUGUUGUGAAGAGUGCAAUGAACGACGUCAAAAUUGAACAAGAAGAAACCCCAAACACAUCCAGUGAAAGUAAUGACGAGUCACUGGAUAGUAAUUUCAUUUCAAAAAAUCUUCCACUCAACAUUUUCGAUAUGAAAUCAACUGAAGAAUUUGCAAGACACGAUUUCAAAAUCAACCAUUUGGAGCAGCCGCCUGUCAUUGUAUCAGAGAAUGAUAGAAUUUGUGUCUUGAUGGAGUCAGCCAAUGAUCCAUCCAAACAGUUUUCCUAUCUGUAAUAUGCAUUGAAAACAAAACAUAUAAGUUUAUAUCCAUGUUUUCAUAAUAUUGAUUUUAGAUUAUAGUAUUUUCAGUUUUACUCAACAAUCCACUCUUUCGAGCUCCUAUUAAAAAGCUAAUGUAUAAUGAAUCAUUACCCAAAUAGUUAAUAUUUGAGAGUAUUACUUUAUGUGUGUGCCAUUACAGUAAUGUUAUGAUUUUAUUUUUGGACAAUAUUGCAUGUAUUCGUAAAUCUUGUGGUAAAUACCUAUUCUUUUCAAUAAAAUAUCGUCGAAGAUUCGAAAAUG
rnacentral:misc_RNA from 1 species